AUGGACUCCGCCGAUUGGGGCCUCGAGGCGGUCGUGAGGAGCUGCGGCGGCUCGACCGUACUUCCCGCCUCGGAAGCAGAACCAGAGCCUACAGCCGCGCGGGCUGGCCGGGGAGUCGUCGCCCGUGUGGCAUCCUCCGGGGAGUUCGUCGGGCAACGGAUGAAGGCGGCUUCCUCGUCCUCGUCGUCGUUGUACGACGUCAUGGAGCGGCCUCGGGCGCCAUUUUCCAUCACGCCGUCGUCGACGUCCCGCGAGCGCAACGUGCCCAUCUCCUUCUCGACGUCCGGGCAGACGCUGCCGGGAAGGAAGCAGACUGGCCGGAAACCGGGCGUUGGCACUCCCACCCACAGGCGGCGGAAAACAAGCAAGAAGAAGGUGGUGCGGUUGGUGCCGGUGGCCCACGGCGGCGUCGCCAACAGCACCGCCGACGACCUGUGGGCGUGGCGCAAGUACGGCCAGAAACCUAUCAAGGCCUCCCCGUUUCCUCGAGCCUACUACAAGUGCAGCAGCCUCAGGGCGUGCACGGCGCGGAAGCUGGUGGAUCGCAGCCCGGCCAAGCCCGAGGUGCUCAUCGUCACGUACAUCGACGACCAUUGCCACGCUGUGCCCGUGCCGAUCACCACGCUCGCGCACCACCCACCCAAGUCACCGCGGGGCACGACGACGGCAGGCGAGGCGGUCUCAGUAUCGUCUUGCAUCGCUGCGGAGUUGGCGGACGACAAGUCCAAGCUCCGGGCACCCGUGGGGCUGGACGAUUUCUUCGGCUCUUUCGACGACACCGUGUUCUCGAGGACGUGGGCGACGACGUUUGUGGACGACGGGUUUCUUCCCUCUAGUUUGUGA
rnacentral:rRNA from 1 species